rnacentral:rRNA from 1 species
UACGCAGGGUGCAAGCGUUGUCCGGAAUUAUUGGGCGUAAAGAGCUCGUAGGCGGCUUGUCGCGUCGGGAUGUGAAAGCCCGGGGCUUAACUCCGGGUCUGCAUUCGAUACGGGGCAGGCUAGAGUGUGGUAGGGGAGAUCGAAUUCCUGGUGUAGCGGUGAAAUGCGCAGAUAUCAGGAGGAACACCGGUGGCGAAGGCGGAUCUCUGGGCCAUUACUGACGCUGAGGAGCGAAAGCGUGGGGAGCGAACAGG